UGGCGGACGGGUGAGUAACGCGUGGGUAACCUGCCUCAUACAGGGGGAUAACAGUUAGAAAUGACUGCUAAUACCGCAUAAGACCACAGCACCGCAUAGUGCAGGGGUAAAAACUCCGGUGGUAUGAGAUGGACCCGCGUCUGAUUAGGUAGUUGGUGGGGUAACGGCCUACCAAGCCGACGAUCAGUAGCCGACCUGAGAGGGUGACCGGCCACAUUGGGACUGAGACACGGCCCAA
rnacentral:rRNA from 1 species